ncrna:unclassified sequences DTF3800-VII RNA
CGCAGGCAAGCGUGAGACUUGUAGAGGUUGCCGGAAACGGCGACAGCCCGAACGGGUGGGAUCCUCGAACUCAGGGCCUGCACUCUU